UACCAGCACCCCGAGUGGUCGGGACGAUUAUUGGGCCUAAAGCAUCCGUAGCCGGUUUACAAGUCCCCCGUUAAAUCCAACUGCUUAACAGAUGGGCUGCGGAAGAUACUAUAGAGCUAGGAGGCGGGAGAGGCAAGCGGUACUCGAUGGGUAGGGGUAAAAUCCGUUGAUCCAUUGAAGACCACCAGUGGCGAAGGCGGCUUGCCAGAACGCGCUCGACGGUGAGGGAUGAAAGCUGGGGGAGCAAACCGGGAUUAAGAUGACCCCAGUAGUCCC
rnacentral:rRNA from 1 species